rnacentral:rRNA from 1 species
CAGUAGCCGCGGGAAUACAGAGGGUGCGAGCGUUAAUCGGAUUUACUGGGCGUAAAGCGUGCGUAGGCGGCUUUUUAAGUCGGAUGUGAAAUCCCUGAGCUUAACUUAGGAAUUGCAUUCGAUACUGGGAAGCUAGAGUAUGGGAGAGGAUGGUAGAAUUCCAGGUGUAGCGGUGAAAUGCGUAGAGAUCUGGAGGAAUACCGAUGGCGAAGGCAGCCAUCUGGCCUAAUACUGACGCUGAGGUACGAAAGCAUGGGGAGCAAACAGGAUUAGAUACCCCUGUAGUCCCUGUCUCUUAUAU